GGCCAAAGGAAGUCACAAAGAUCAGCUUAAAAAUAACCCCCCUCUCCCUGUCAGUCAGGAGGAGGAGCGUGUGGAGGAGCCAAGUGCCAGUGAUGGUGGUGGCGGCUCAGAAAGGCCCGGAGGCAAGUCUGGGAGGCCCACCGGGGCGCCCAGCCCCGUCCUUAUCAGCACCAGCAAGGCACCGCCCAGAGCCCAUCUUCUCCCCGGCUUCCGCCCCAGCUGCAUCUGUUUCCUCCACUUGAACAGCCAGGUUAGUGAACUCAGAAGAGCAUUUCUGCCCAGCGGAGGGAGAGCACGGCCUCCCACCGAACGCACAGGGCGGGGUGCCCCUGCACCAGUGAAGCCCACGCUUCCUGACCGGCCCCCGAAGCCAUCAUCUGUCCCGAGAGGCAGGCACCGGGGAGGCCUGCCCAUGCCGGGCGUGAUGAUGCCUCCCGGCACCCACACGGUGCCCGCAGCACCCCGAUACCCACCCAAGUCAUGACAACCAAAGAUGUCUCCAGAUGUUACCGAAUGUUCCCUGGGAGGGGGGCAAAAUCAGCCCCAGCUGAGCACUACAGCUACAAGUGAAAAGUCUGAAGUUCAGAGAGGGUAAGCAACUUUCCCAAGUCACAAGGCUGGCAGGCAGCAGAGAGAGAAUCUGACCCAAGGUUUGCCUGGCACCAAGUAUUGUGUCCCUACAUCGUAUUCCCUCCUAGUUCUAAACAAGGACGGUGUGGCCUCGACACCAAAAUCUGUUUGCUCAGGAGAAACAGCAUCAAUAUUCUCUGAUUCUUCGCCUCCAGGACUCUACAGCUUCUGGAAUUACAAUCUCUGGCUGCUACUUAUCUGAACAGAAUCUACAUCUUGGGAUUUUGAAGCCAAAUCACCUGAGACCUAGGCCACUCUGCCAGGCGUAGGAAUUUAAGCUCUCCUUUGCACUCCCGUGUCCCCCGAGUGAGCCGUGAGGCUUGGUUUGGGCAUGCACCCCAUUAGUUCUUCUGGGACCAUGGCAAGGCUGAGGUCCUGGGAAAUGAUGGCGGUGAUUUCGGUUUCUUGUCUUCAGCCACUUUCUAGAAAAAAUGCUGAGGCCAGAAUCGUAACUCAAACUUCUGCGUGACUUUCAUCUCCUUUGGAUUCCGCAUUCAUUGAUUAAAAUCUUCCCCGACAGAAAAUGGACAGAAUUUGCAAACUACACCACUUCCUGUUGCACAGAAAGAUGGGCCGUUGAUGGGAGACUGCCAGGCACGCAGACACAAAAGCCGCACACACGGAGACUAAUUGAUAGCAGAAUUGAAACGACUCCAAGCCCACAUUUCUUUCAUCAUCCUCUGCUCUCUGCUUCCCUCCUGUAGCCUCUUCUCUUCUUUGCUGGACCCUGCUGUGCACAGUUGCUUCUUGUACCUUAGAAAGCAGGAACCACGUUCCACGUGGCCUUCUUCGUGCACAGGCGAACACGAAGGGCAGCGUCACUUCUUCAGGAAACGAAGUCAGUCAUCACAGAAAGCAGGGUCGCUGCCAGAGCCCGCUGGCUUUCCUGGACAAGGGAGACGAGAGCUGAUGGCAGCGGCCACCUGGACCAUGACAUCCCAAAGCCUCGGCAGCCGUGGGAACUGCAUGGUCAGUUCCUGCCCUCUCACUGUCCCCCCCCACGGCCUCCCAGAGGGUCCCUCCAGACCAGAGUCCUCACAGAAGAAUUUCCAUCAUGAGAUCAUAAAAUCCACAAUGUCCCAAACCAGUUGGUAGGAAGGUGGUGGCAAAAGUGGGAGAGGAAAGUUCAGUCUCCAGUGCGAGAAUCUGACAGAGUCGGGCCUCCUCAUCAGCAGAAGCGGAGCGGAAAGCUGGCGGUAAAGACGUGGAGACUGACUCGGGUGUUGUUAACUAAGAGACCGGCUUGGGCCCAAAGCCCAGCCCAGUGUUUUUCGAAUCAGGGGCACCGGCCCAUCAGUGAAUGGUGAAGUCAGUUUAGCAGGUCGUGAGAGGAGGGUGCUUGCAGUUCAAUGGAGUGGGAUGGAAUGGAUGUAUCAGACAGCACUGCACGCAGUAAGACUGAUCUUGUUUCCGUUAUGUCUGUGUGAUGAGAGUGAUCUAGGGUGAAUUCCUCUGCUUUACGCUCUCCUUAAAGUGUAAGGGACAUGCAAUAAACACCACACACUGAAAGGCACAGUCUGAUCGAUUUUGGCACAUGCGUACACCCAUGAAACCAUCACCGCAGUCAAGAUGACGUGUUUGCUGCUCCCCAGAGUCUCCACGCGCCCCUCCGCACACCGACCCUCCAACGGCUGAUCUGCUCUCCGCCACUCUGGAUUAGUGUGUGCUUUCUAGAGAGGUCUAUGAAUGGGGUCACACAGUAACUGUGCCCUUUUUUAUCUGGCUUUUUUCAGUGGGCAUAAUUACUCUGAGACUCGUCCACAUUGCUCUUGCAUCACCGGUUCCGUUCUCAUUGCCGAGUAGGAUUCCACUGUGAGGGUUUUUCACAGUUUGCUUAAGCGUUCACCUGUGGAUGGACAUCCGGGUCGCUCCCGGUUUGGGACUCUCACACAGAAAGGUGCCGUCAACGUUCACGCAUGUGCUUCCUGGGUAGAAACCCGGCUGUGGAACGACCGAAUCACAUGGUGGCUCAUAGGUAAGCUUCUUCGGAGACUGCCAACCACACCGUGCAGUGGUGGUGCCACUCGCUGCCCCGCCGGCAGUGAAUGAGAGUCCCAGGCCCCCACACGGGUCCUGCGUGUCAGCCACCCCGGCGGCCUGCAGCGGCAGCUCAGUGUUUUAAUCUGCAUACAUCCAUAACGACCGAAAUGUGCAUGGUCUGGGUCUCAUAUUCCAGCCAACAAUCCGUCUCCAUCAAUGUGCGUGUGUGGUGCGAAGGAAGGGUUGAGGCUCAUUCCAUUACACGUGGCUCUCCGAUUGUUCCAUUGCCACUUGCUGAAAAGACCGCCCUUUCCCCAUUCCAUCGCCCUGCUAUCUUUCUUGAAAAUCCACCGCUGACAGACGCGCGGGUCGAUUUCUGCACUCUGUAUCCUGCGUCAGCGACCUGUUUGUCUGUACGCCCACACGACACCGUCCUGACUGCAGGGGCUUGGCGGUCAGUUUAGAAAUCAAGUAAUGUUGUUAGUGCCUCCACUUGGUUCUUUUCAAAGUUGUUUGGCCUAUUCUAGGCUUUUUUUUAACUUCCAUAUGUAUUUUAAAAUCAGCUUUUCAAUUUCUUCAGGAAAGCCUCUGGGAAUUUGCCAGGACUUUUGUUGAACUGAUAGAUCAGUGUGGGAAGGAAUUUCUACUUCAGCAACACAGAAACUUACGACCUGUGAACCCAACAUGUCUGUCCGUCUCAUCAGGCCUUCUUUGAUUUUUUCCAGCAAUGGUUUGUCGUUUUAAGUGUUCAGAUUUCACAUACAUUUUGUUAAGUUUAUAAUGAAGUGUUUUUUUUUGUUGCUAUGGCUACUGCAAGCAGCAUUGGUUUUGAGUUCCAUUUUCUAAUCAUUCAUUACAGAAUAAAAAAUGUAAUUAAUUUUUGCAUAUUGAACUUACGUAAGAUUUUCUACAUAAACGAUCAUAUCACCUGCCAAUAAAGACCAUCUUACUUCCUUUUCAAUCA